AGAGUUUGAUCCUGGCUCAGGAUGAACGCCUUUGACAGGCUUAACACAUGCAAGUCGAGGGGCACCGGGGGACUAACAAUACUCCCGCCGGAAAGCCGCGCACGGGUGAGUAACACGUAUGAAACCUGCCCGUAGCAAAGGGGAUAAGCGGAAGAAAUUCCGUCUAAUACCGCGUAACAACCCAUGGAGGCAUCUCCGUGGGUUUAAAGGAAUCGAUUCCAAGCUACCGAUGGUCAUGCGUCGCUUAGCUUGUUGGCGGGGUAACGGCCCACCAAGGCGACGAUGCGUAGGGGUUCUGAGAGGAAGGUCCCCCACACUGGUACUGAGACACGGACCAACACUCCUACGGGAGGCAGCAGUGAGGAAUAUUGGUCAAUGGCCGCAGGGCUGAACCAGCCAAGUCGCGUGAGGGAUGACGGUCCUAUGGAUUGUAAACCUCUUUUGUCAGGGAGCAAAGGGCGCCACGUGUGGCGUUUUGCGAGUACCUGAAGAAAAAGCAUCGGCUAACUCCGUGCCAGCAGCCGCGGUAAUACGGAGGAUGCGAGCGUUAUCCGGAUUUAUUGGGUUUAAAGGGUGCGCAGGCGGAAUGUCAAGUCAGCGGUAAAAUUUCGGGGCUCAACCCCGUCGUGCCGUUGAAACUGGCGUUCUUGAGUGAGCGAGAAGUAUGCGGAAUGUGUGGUGUAGCGGUGAAAUGCAUAGAUAUCACGCAGAACUCCGAUUGCGAAGGCAGCAUACCGGCGCUCAACUGACGCUCAUGCAUGAAAGCGUGGGUAUCGAACAGGAUUAGAUACCCUGGUAGUCCACGCAGUAAACGAUGAAUACUAACUGUCCCGGGCAAA
rnacentral:rRNA from 1 species